rnacentral:rRNA from 1 species
CCUGCAAAACGAAUCUAAGUUCCCCCUUAACCCUCUUUUCCCUCCCCAGACAAACCCAACCCAAAUGUGAUAGUUAAGGGCUAUUUAAAGGGGGUACAGCCCCUUUAAAAAAGGACACAACCUCCACCAGCGGAUAACCCCUGUACGCCCAACCCCGUGGGCCUUAAAGCAGCCACCCCCAAAGAUUGCGUCAAAGCUCCAUCAACCAAAAACCCCCAAAACCAAUGCGACUCCCUACACCCACAGCAGGCCAACCUAUAACAAUAGAUGAAUCAAUGCUAGAACGAGUAACCAGGACACUAUGUCCCCCCAAGCGCCAGCCUGUAUACCAUUAACAGUAAAACCUCAAUAAUAACCACCCCCANNNUUGAACCCACCCUGUCAACCCAACUCAGGGGCGCACACUGGAGUGAUCAAAAUCUACAAAAGGAACUCGGCAAACCUAAGACCCGACUGUUUACCAAAAACAUAGCCUUCAGCCAAACAAGUAUUGAAGGUGAUGCCUGCCCAGUGACACUAUGUUUAACGGCCGCGGUA